CUGAGAGAUGCUAGAAGGUUAAAUAGUCGGAGUAACAGACUGUGAAGUUCUCAGGCUACUACAGACAAGAGGAAUCUGCUGAUUUCAGGAGGUUGCAGCUGUGUUUUCGCUUGUGUGUGAUGGAAGAAUCUGCCAUUGUAGGGAUGUGGGAAACUAAAAUUCACCACGGACAGUUUAUGGUCUUAUCCCUCUUUGUGCAUGUAGGAUCAAGGCAUUAAUAAGGAUCUCAGAAGGAAUGUCAAGAGAUCACAGACUCAUGUCCUGUUUGUUACUGGUUGGCUUUAUUGAUUUUUUAUUUUUUAUUUUUUAAGAUUUCACCUGUUUGUUCAUGAGAGACACACAGAGAGAGAGGCAGAGACACAGGCAGAGGGAGGAGCAGGCUCCCUGCAGGGACGCGGGACUCCAUCCUGGAUCUCGGGAUCAUGCCCUGGGCUGAAGGCAGACGCUCAACCGCUGAGCCACCCUGGCGUCCCACCCUGGUUGACUUUAGACUCCCACGUGGGUACCUGUUUUUUCCAGGAAGAAAUCCUUAGAAUCACGAGAGGAAGAGUGCAGAGGGGAUAGCGAGCCCGGCCUCUUACCUUCACAGGUGACAUCUGAGGUCCCGAGGCAGGAGAUGGUUCCGGCGGCUCAGGACCCCCGUCGGAGGACAAGCGUUAGGUGGUCAUGAGACUUAAAUGGGGAGCGGGGGAUGGAGUUUAAGUGAAACAUUUGCACACUAAACAAACACACCCCGGUAAAACAGGUGGAAAGUUCCUUUUGCACAUGUGCAGGGUCUCCAGGGUGGGCUGCUUCUGAGUGUUUCUUUGCAAACGCUGAGAAACGAGGACUCGGGGAGGAGGCAGGUCACUGGGGGUCCAGCUGCAUGAGGGUGAGGCAUCUGCUGAGGGGAAUCGGCGCCUGCGGACACCGGCCCCAAGUGGCGGCAAGCGAGCUGCUCCCAGGUCAGUCUUGGAAAUCUG
rnacentral:lncRNA from 1 species